CGUCCCACUCGCCUCCUCCUCCUCGUUGCCCUCCUCUCUCUCUCUCUCGCUAACCCCUCUCUCCCCCCGUGCAAGCCACCCACGGAUUUGGAGGAAGAGGAGAGAUGCGGGAUCUGGAGGAGGAAGAGGAGAUCCGAGCGUCCCGGCGGUGGAUCGACCGAUGCCAGAUCGGGCGGAGGUCGCCGCCGUGGGAGGAGCAGGGAAGGGUGAGGCCUGGGUUCGACCAGCAGCGCACGCUCUUUAGGCUGGUGCUAGGCUGCAUCUUUUCCUGCCCCCGUCCUGGUGCCUCCUCCUACCCGCGUAAAUGGCGAGCAGAGGGCGUGAGUACCAGAGUUUGGAUGUGGAUGUUACUUCAGGGAGGAAGUUGGUUACAAUUUUCAUUUGUAUGAUGCAGCAGGCACAAACUAAUUUACAGAAUUUUUGGUGUUGCGGUCUCUCCCCAUCUUAACAUUGUCUUCCGCUGGAAGGAGAGGAAAUUUGUGUAUAUCACACCUAUCAGCUACAUCCCAUGGAGUGGAAUUUUGUGUCAGGCUCAUUGGAGAAGCUUUCACAGCUAUGGCUCUUCUUUCAGUCAUAAGAUUUACAGAUAUACUAAUUCUAAAAGAUUUGAUUCACAGGAAAUGGAUUGUAAAUUGCAAGUGAGUUGGGGCUUCUGAUUGGACCUUGUGGUGGUUGGAUCUGCUGACAGAUAGGGAGAAGCAUGAUAGUCGGAGAUUACCUGAAUGAUUCGUGGAAAUUAGAAUGUGGGGAUCUCAAAGAAUGUUUCACAAGAAAAACAAAUAUUGGCCAUUUCCAAACUUGCUCGGUGGUCGAGGUACUAUAGAGGACAUCAGUAGAAUGAAAGCAAGAGCAAUCUGACACCAUUAUUGAUAGUCAGCUUCCAUUAUCAGCAGCUUCAGACGUAUAUAUCUUUCUUUUGGAAAUGGAAGUUGCUGUUUCUUCCCAGAACUAGGAAGGUGCGGAUAAUAAGAGUUGUUGACAGAGGCAACCUGCACAUGUGCAAACAGUGGCUAUGGUGGCUCAAAGGGAAGCAGCGGCUGCUCCAUGGAAACACGCAACUUAGUGAUGACCGGCGAAGCGCAAGGUCAUGUACAAGGGAUAAGCUGGUCAAUGAAGGAAAUUCUAAAAGAAAGCGACUACAAGCAACAUUUGAAGGUACAGCCUGUAUUAUGUUACUUCAGAAAUUAGUAUCAUGGUCUGUUAUUGGGAAUCACGAGUUUCUUGACAAUGAGACCCAUUACAUUUUCUUUUCAUAAAAAAAUCCUUGGAAGAGAUUGUAAAGUUUAACGAGCAUGUCCCUUUUACAUCUCUUUACAGUGUGUUUUCUUUUGGUUUGACAACAUUUUAAGUUUUAUAUUUUGUACAGGCUGUGUAUAGUGUAGGAGGUAUUGAUGAUGAAAUAUGAAUGUCCCUUGUUCUUGUCUGCUCCUGACACAGUAGACUUGUGUGAUGUGCUCUAGAUCCUUUCUCUUUUUUCAUUAAAUGAUUAUGUGACUGAGGAGAGCAUGUUCUUAAUUAGGUUGCCAUUGUGAAACUUGUUUUCGGUUUUUUUUAUUGUAUAAUACAGAGCUUCCAAAUGGUUUGAUCCUAGAAAUAAGUUACCAAUUUUCGGUGUGUAGUGAGCUGGGAGCCGGGGUCAUCCUUCUCACCACCAGUCGAACAUACUACUUCAGCCACCAUGUUGAGCGAUACAAAAGUGUUCUCUAUUUCUGAGAGCAACAACACGAGAUUGUGCCCCCUCUUGCUCCAGGUGCAUGUUGCUGUAAUUAGUAUCAACAGAUUAAAUCAUGGACCAUGUCUCUGUUUCAUACCACCUCUGUUCAUAAACAGAUAGCUUCCUAGAGAUUGUGCAGUCCUAAGGCCAUCCACACUAUUGCCCCUUAAAGCGUAUUGAGUGCAUCAAGCCUAAUUUUCUAUUGGACAGAUUUUGUUCUGUUAUCUAUUAGUGUUAGAACAAUACAAAUUUUCCUAUUUUGCAGAAACUAACUUAGUGCUUCCUUCUUUCAGUUUUGAAAUUCAGCAAUUCUUUUCCUUAAUCGCAAACUGAAUUGUUCGUCGUUGCUAUUUGGUUUCCCUUCUGUCUGUGGCAUAUUGAUGAUUUGAUCCGCAUUCAAGAAAGAAAUAUUCCAUGCAAGCCUCCAGCCUAAGUAAAGAAAUUUAUUUGCUUGCCAUUUGAAUAAAAAAUUUGAGCAGAUAUAUAUUUCAUUGUUCAUGAUCUUUCUUUUUUGUUUGUAUCGAACUUCAUGCUUACUCAAUAUAUAUCAUGUUGUAAUCCGGUCUGAUUUGUUCAUACUUAAUUUCUUUUCUUCAGCUCUUUGUUUUAUUGAUAGAUGAUAAAGAAUGCAUCAUCACAAUAUUUUUUUUAUUUAAAAUCUGUAUGGGAUUGGUCAGUUGGUGCAUCUGCAUUCAUAAAACGGUCUUCCUUUAAUAUAGCAAGACUGAACCAGGUUAGUUUGCGUGUGAAGUUCUUUUUUUUUAGAGAUAAGGCACAAUGUCCGACUUCAUAAAUAAAGCCAUCAAUGGCAAUCAAGUCAAACUGAAGUUGAGUUAAAAUGUUACAAAACAAAGCUGCCUGAUAUGGAAUACACACUAUUUUCAUUUUCAUUAACAUGAAUCUGCCAUUAACGUCCUUUGUUCUUAACAUUUGUUUUACCAAAUGCAGGGGAGCGUCACCGAUAUUUUCUUGAAGCGGUAUAAUCGUUGAUAAUAUCUUUACGGUUUGUCCUUUGUUUCAGAGAACAUAAUUCACACAUGAUAUUACCCUGUUGGCCUGUUGUUUGGCGUUGGACCAUGGACACAAGGUUCAUAUAAAAUUCUUUGGAUACAGAUAAUUGUGAGCUCUGAAUUGUUGAAAAAUUGUUCUCCAUAGUUCUGUACGAGUCAGUUUGUGUUUUUUGCAUUCUCAGCAGUUGUCGUCCUUGAAUAAUUUAAGUUAAAGCUAAGAUUGAGAGAGGGUGAGAGAGGUAAUAAACAGUGGCUACAUAGUUUGCGAAAGAGAAAUUGUCAUUGGAGAAGCACACGAUACAUGAAUAGGAAAGGCAUCACACUCGAGUUUGGAGAAGAAAAAGGGUACAAGGACAAAGAUAGAUUAGUAUUCUGCUCUGAAGCUAAAACUUUUUGUGGGAUGCAUGUUUUUUUUUAAUGUUAUUUGAUUCUGUAUUAUGGAAGUAUGACUGGUCGUAUAUAUUUACAUUAAUGUUGUCAAGUUGUGGUUUAGCAAUAGGUAUAAUCUCCUAUCAAGGUACUUCUUUUGAAUAUAUCGCUGUUUUUAAACUUGCAAUUUCUAUGUGGACCUAUGCUCGCGAGCGUCCCUCGAUUUUGCUGUGUUUCUUGUUGUUCGAUGGUGUGCCUAUAUGCUUAAUUUUGUCGUUAUCCGUGUCUAGGCUUCACACAAGAGGCUGAAAGAGGACGAUGAUGCAAGGAAAUAUUUCUAGCAGCUGAUCAACAUUGUCAGCUACUGCCAUAGCAGAGGCGUUUAUCACCACGAUCUGAAGGUAUUGUGGGGUGCUGCUUACUGAUGUGCUCUAUGGGAAGAAAAGUGGGUCCAUACCAUUUAUCUUCUUCCUUAUAUCAUCCUGAAAAUCUUCUGCUUUGUACUAAUGACACUCUCAAGGUGAUUUUGGAUUGAGUACGUAAAUUGUCUGCUUUCACUUUUUCUAGCUUGAUGGAAACCAUCAUGAUGCAAAAUUUAGUCUAGGUCGGACAUGUAUAUACAAAUCCUGCUACUCUUUUCUUUGCUCAAUUAAAAUAAUUUAGUUUACCCUAGGAAGUCAUGUUCAUUCUCCUGCUCUUUUACAAACCAUAGGCUAGAAAAUUUCUUUUUAGCAUACGUUCUCCUUUUAUUAAGCUUUCUUUUGCUACAGUUUGCCAGGCAAAUAAAGUUUUCCAGUCAAUAGUUCACCUGUCUCCUAAUGCAUGUAAUACUGUUUGGAACUGGCACUCCAAUGGAUUCAGUUACAUGAUGUCGGAUUAGCUGGCUGCCAUUAUGCAGCGCAUCUUGUGUGCCUCUGGUUAUGUUCUAUAUAAAAUGACGUGAAAUGUGAAAUUGGGCAAUACUUUUGAUAUACUUUUGUAACAUGGUGUAUCAUUCAUGUUUGGUUUGUGCAUAGUUCUAUUGGUGUUCUGUCAAAUCUGGGGCUUUGUAUUUUCAUCCCGGCUUAUUGUAGUAUUACAAUCUGGCAGUAUAAGAGUUCUGGUUAGUUCUCAUAAUUCAUCCAGUAUAUGUUUGGUUUCAAAGCAAAUAAAUUGAAAGGACGUAUAAGAGAAGGUAUAAGGUGGAAUCUUGCAAGUAGUUGACCAAAUAUAUCUCACUUCGAGGAAUGCUUUUUGCUGAGAAUACCACUUUUUUUCCAAUACCCCAAUGAUUUCAUUCGCCAGUACCUUGACGACUUGGAUCAGGUUUUCUUCCGAAAAGGGUGCAUGGACAAACAGAUGCAAGGGGCAUUGUUUCAUACAACACCCACACCAAUGACCAUUGGACGAGUGAAGCCAAGGGACUUGUGAACAACAUGAAAAACUUUCAUCCAUCUUUUGAUUACACAGAAAUAUGCCUUUGAUGCAUCCGUGUUGGGACAAGCUUUUUCGGACGGAGGGAGUAUAUGAUGUAAUUGACCACUAUCAAUUAGAAAUGCUCCUGGACACAAUGCUCUAUAUUAUCAUGUCUUUCGUGCAUUUUAUUGUGCCACCUGCGUAUAUAGCUACUUGAAUCUUCUAAUUGCAAACUCAAACAUUUGCAUUUUGUU